AUCCAGAUGACGAGUCCAAAACAGGACGAAAUGCGCAUCCUGGAC
rnacentral:hammerhead_ribozyme from 1 species